UACGUAGGGUGCGAGCGUUGUCCGGAAUUACUGGGCGUAAAGAGCUCGUAGGUGGUUUGUCGCGUUGUUCGUGAAAACUCACAACUCAAUUGUGGGCGUGCGGGCGAUACGGGCAGACUGGAGUACUGCAGGGGAGACUGGAAUUCCUGGUGUAGCGGUGGAAUGCGCAGAUAUCAGGAGGAACACCAACGGCGAAGGCAGCUCUCUGGGAACGUUACUGACGCUGAGAGCGAAAGCGUGGGGAGCAAACAGG
rnacentral:rRNA from 1 species